rnacentral:rRNA from 1 species
AAGGGUAUAUAUAAAUGAUAUAUAAACAUAAAAAAAAGAAUAGAAAUAAAUGUAUAAUAAAAAUGAAUAAAGAUUAAUUAAUAUGUAGAGAUGGCUAUUGAUAAAUAAGGGUAAAAAAUUAUCUUAGUGUAAAGUAAGAGAUAAAAAACCUAAAGGAAACUGAAAUAAAAGAACUAGGUGAAUUGAAACAUCUUAGUAACCUAAGGAAAAGAAAUCAACAGAGAUUCUAUGAGUAUUGGUGAGAGAAAAUAGAAUAGCUAAAAUAAGUAAAUCGUAAAUAAACGAUUGAAUAGGGGAUAACAAAUCCUAAAGCUAAAUAAUAUCAAUAAGCUUUAACUAGUACCGAAAGGGAAUACUACUAUAUUAGUAAAAUCAUGAGCAAUAAGAGAUCUUUUAAAUGAAAAAGAUUGAUUAUGUACCUUUUGUAUAAUGGGUUAGCAAGUUAUAAUUAUUAGCAAAACAAAAAGUAAAUAAGUUAUAAGGAAAGAGUAAAAAAUAAUUUAUUUUAUAAUAUUUUGAAUAAAUUAUUAAAAGUUAAUAGUUAUAGACCCGAAAGUAGAUGAUCUUAUCAUCACCAAGUGGUUUAAUUAUUAUUAUAAGAAAAAGAGGAAUCUUGAAUAAUAUAAUAAAAUGAAUCGACUGAACAAGUUAAUGUUGCAAUAUUAUUUGAUGAGUGAUGAUAAGUAGUGAAAGACAAAUCUGAUCUACAGAUAGCUGGUUUUUUGUGAAAUAUAUCUUAGUAUAGCAUUAUUAUAGUAAUCAAUAGGUAAAGCAAUUAAUUAUAAUUGGGGUCUUUUAAUUAAGAUUAUCAAUAUAAUUUAAUCUCAUAAAUCUAUUGUAAUUAGGGAAUAAUAAUAGUCAGACUAUUGGCGAUAAGGUUUAUAGUCAAAAGGGAAACAGCCCAGAUUAACAGGUAAAGUUCCAAAUAUUAUAAGAAAACUAAGUGUAAUAAAUAUAGAUCACCUCUAUAACAACUACGAGAUGGGUUUGACAGUAAUCUAUUCUAUGAUCAACGUGUAUCAACGGACUAGUUAUGAAUUAAAACGAUGAUUUUAAUUGAGAGGGAUUAUUAUAGACAAUAAUCGGAACUUAAUAAUAGAAGUAUAAAACUGAACCUGUAAAUAUUAAUAGUUAUAUUAAUAAAAUUAUUAAUAUGGUAACAAAACAUUCAAUGAAAAAAUAUCUUAAUAAAGUUAAGGUAAUAAAUGUGUAGGUAAUUGAAUAGAGAAUGCUGACAUGAGUAACGACUAAGGGGAUAAUCCCCUUCACUUUAAGUAUAAGGUUUUAAUAAAAAAUCGGUCCCUAAGAUUUAUAUUGAAAAGUAUAAAUUAAUAGGUAAUUAAUAAUAAAAAGAAAGACUAAUAAGGAAAAUAACAAUAAUUAGUACAGGAAAACCUUUUUAAAAAAAAUACCGUAAUAAAACCGACACAGGUAUACGAAAGUAGAAAAGAAAGUGAAUAAGAUAACCUCAUUUAAUGAACUCGGCAAAUAUAUUUCUUACGUUAGUCAAAAGGAAAUAAUAAAGAAUAUAUCGUGCGACUGUUUACUAAAAACACAGCACUUUGCGAAAACUAAUAGUUGUAGUAUAAAGUGUGAAUUCUGCCCAAUGCUUAAUAAUAAGAUACUUUAUUGAAAGAUAAGGUAUUCAAAAGUUAAGUCAAUGGCGGCUUUAUAAUGAGAGUCAUAAUGUAGCGAAAUGCCUUGUCUACUAAUUAUAGUCCCGCAUGAAUGGAGUAACGAUGCGAUAACUGUAUCAAAUGAGGUCUUAGUGAAAUUGAAUUAGCGGUGAAGAUGCCGUUUACCUAAAGUUAGACGAGAAGACCUUUUGCAGCUUUACUGUAGGCUAAUUAGUUGUACCUAUUUUACUCAUCUUUUAGCAUAUCAAGUAAUAUAUUGAUAUAACAAUGAAAUACUUGAAUUUGAGAUUAUAGUUACUUAUCUAGAUAAAAUUUAAUUGAUAAUUUUAAAUUCUUAAAUAUGUAAAUUCUGGAGACAGCUUUAGUCUGACAGUUUAAAUGGGGCGUUGAUUUCAUAAAAUGUAACUGAAUAUGUCCAUUUACUAUUUUUAUAAAAAUUUAUUCUAAUAAUUAAUGAGAUAAUCAUUAAUAUUGUUAAAAAUAACGUUGUUAUUAAAAGAGAAUAAACCAUGUAUAGUUAAUCUGAAAGUGAAAUCAGAUAAAAUAAAUGUUAAUCAUUUAAUUUUUUAUAAGUAUAAUAGUAUAACUAUGCAAUAAAUUUUGACAUACAAGUCGAAAUUUUACGUAAGUAUGGUAUAGUGAACAGGCCAUUUUUUUUGUACAAGUGGUCGAUAACGGAUAAAAGCUACGCUAGGGAUAACAGCAUGGUAACGCGAGAGAGUAGAUAUUGUCAGCGUUGUUCGUGACCUCGAUGUCGACUCAACCUAUCCUAUUGGUCGUAGAAGCUAAUAAGGGUUUGACUGUUCGUCAAUUAAAAGGUUACGUGAGUUGGGUUUAAUACGUCGUAAGACAGUAUGGUUUCUAUCUUCUUUAGGACAUAGUUAAUAGAAUUAUAUACCUUAGUACGAAAGGAUUAGGUAUUAUUAAUCAAUGAUUGGACUGUUAUUAUUCAUUUUAAUAAAAUAUUAUUAAAUUUUUAUUUUAUUAAAUACCUUUAUUGUUUAAUAUGAAUAGUAUGCAGUUAAGUUAAAUUAGUUUAUUUUAAGCAUUGAAUGCAUUUCAAAUGUGAAAUUAAAUUCUAGAUAACUAAAUAUUUUAAUAUUAUGCUAGACUAGCAUAUUUAUAGCCUCAUAUUACCAUAGUUAUGAUGGCCUAAUUAAUAUUAAAUUUUUAUUAUACUUCUAUUUAUUUUUUUUAUGUUUUUUUUAUACUUUUUUAGACAAAUUAUUAGUAAUUAUAAAUAAUUUUUAAAAAUUUAAUAAAAAAUCAAAGGUAGAUACCUUUAAAAUUUUGAUGAUUUUUUAUAUCUCGUUGUAUAUUGUCUAUAAAUUAAAAUAUUUAAUAAAUUAAUAUAGACGAUAUAUAACAUUAAAUUAAAUUUUAUUAACUUUUUUAUUUUUUUUUUAUUGUAUUUUUAAUUUAAUUAAAAAUUACUUAUUUUUAUUUUAUUUUUUUU